CUUGACUGUAGCUUGGAAUUGGGUUCGGGCUCUUCUUGCGCAGCCUAGGUGGGAGGCGUUGAAAGCUUUCUUUUGGGGAAGCUGGAGCCAUCAGUGAGAGACCACUCUGGAGGAGCUAGAAUUCUAAUGGCGUUCCUUGAAGCAGGACGCUUGACAGUUUCAGGUGGGCAGUUUGACUGGGGCGGUCACCUCCUAAAAGGUAACGGAGGUGUGCAAAGGUUCCCUCAGGCUGGACGGAAAUCAGCCGUAGAGUGUAAAGGCAGAAGGGAGCUUGACUGCAAGACCUACAAGUCGAGCAGGGGCGAAAGCCGGCCUUAGUGAUCCGACGGCGCUGAGUGGAAGGGCCGUCGCUCAACGGAUAAAAGUUA
rnacentral:rRNA from 1 species